GUAGGUGGCAAGCGUUGUCCGGAAUUAUUGGGCGUAAAGCGCGCGCAGGCGGUUCUUUAAGUCUGAUGUGAAAGCCCACGGCUCAACCGUGGAGGGUCAUUGGAAACUGGAGAACUUGAGUACAGAAGAGGAAAGCGGAAUUCCACGUGUAGCGGUGAAAUGCGUAGAGAUGUGGAGGAACACCAGUGGCGAAGGCGGCUUUCUGGUCUGUAACUGACGCUGAGGCGCGAAAGCGUGGGGAGCAAACAGGAUUAGAUACCCUGGCAGUCCACGCCGUAAACGAUGAGUGCUAAGUGUUAGGGGGUUUCCGCCCCUUAGUGCUGCAGCUAACGCAUUAAGCACUCCGCCUGGGAGUACGGCCGCAAGGCUG
rnacentral:rRNA from 1 species